UAUGGUUAUAUCACGCUGAGACACCAAUUCUCGUACGAUCACCGAAGUUAAGCAAUGUCGAGUUUGGUCACUACCAAGAUGGGUGACUGCUUGAGAAUACCAGGUGAUGUAA